GAGAAGCCCGGUAGCGAAAGCGACUCUCUGGUCCAAUACUGACGCUGAGGUGCGAAAGUGUAGGUAGCGAACGGGAUUAGAUACCCCGGUAGUCUACACCGUAAACGAUGAGCACUAGGUGGUGGAAACGCCGAUAGUUUUCUCCGCCGUAGCUAAUGCAUUAAGUGCUCCGCCUGGGGAGUAUGGUCGCAAGAUUAAAACUCAAAGGAAUUGACGGGGGCCCACACAAGCGGUGGAGGAUGCGGCUUAAUUCGAGGACACGCGUAGAACCUUACCGAGGCUUGACAUGCAGGGAUUAACCAGGUGAAAGCCUGGGGAUUGCCUUACGGUGUAACCUGCACAGGUGCUGCAUGGCUGUCGACAGUUCGUGUCGUGAGAUGUUAGGUUAAGUCCUGUAACGAGCGAAACCCCUAUGCUUAAUUGCCAGCGCGUUAUGGCGGGGACCUUAAGCAGACUGCCCCGGCCAACGGGGAGGAAGGUGGGGAUGACGUCAAGUCAGCAUGGCCCUUAUGCCUCGGGCUGCACGCGUCCUACAAUGGGCUGUAUAAUGAGUUCCGAUCCCGCGAGGGGGAGGCAAUCUUCAAAGCAGUCCUCAGUUCGGAUUGCAGGCUGAAACUCGCCUGCAUGAAGGUGGAAUCGCUAGUAAUCGCCGGUCAGCUAUACGGCGGUGAAUACGUCCCUGGGUCUUGUACACACCGCCCGUCAAGCCACCCGAGUUGGGUGCGCUCGAAGUCCAAGACUCAACCUGCUUGCAGGAGAGAUUGGCCGAAGGUGAACCUGAUGAGGUGGACUAAGUCGUAACAAGGUACC
rnacentral:rRNA from 1 species